rnacentral:rRNA from 1 species
UACAGAGGGGGCAAGCGUUGUUCGGAAUUACUGGGCGUAAAGGGCGCGUAGGCGGCCUUCUAAGUCGAACGUGAAAUCCCCGGGCUCAACCCGGGAACUGCGUCCGAUACUGGAAGGCUUGAAUCCGGGAGAGGGAUGCGGAAUUCCAGGUGUAGCGGUGAAAUGCGUAGAUAUCUGGAGGAACACCGGUGGCGAAGGCGGCAUCCUGGACUGGUCCUGACACUCAUGAGCGAAAGCGUGGGGAGCGAUCCGG